UAAUUAAUUAAUUAAUUUAUUUUUUGGGAGGGGGUGGGGUUGUUCGAGCAUUUGCCAAUGAAGUGUGUGAGUGUGUGCGCCUCCGGGUACAUAUUUAGGGCAUUUACUAAUCAAAUUUAAGGUAUCUUUAGGGUUGGCGCCUUUGGAUCUCCAUCAAGUAAGACUCUUGGUGCUACUGGUAGCUUAUUUUGACCAUCGUGCUUUUAUAAAAGUUUCAUCAACGCUUAGACUUAUCUGAGUUUUGAUUUGUUUUUGAAUUCCCAAUUAAAUGGAGAUUUGGACUCCAAAUGACAAUUAUGUUUUAUUUUCAAAUAUUUUGAGAUAUGAUUGUUUUGAAAACUGAGCUUUAACUGUUGAAGUGUUGAUAUGUGACAUUGAAUAUUUUGACGAUGCUGUUUAAUUGGGAUCAGAUUAUAAAUUAAUGGGAA
rnacentral:misc_RNA from 1 species